UACAGAGGGUGCAAGCGUUGUUCGGAAUUAUUGGGCGUAAAGGGCGCGUAGGCGGUUCGGCAAGUCUCUAGUGAAAUCUCAGGGCUCAACUCUGAGUCUGCUGGGGAAACUGCCGGGCUUGAGUCCGGGAGAGGUGAGUGGAAUUCCCAGUGUAGCGGUGAAAUGCGUAGAUAUUGGGAGGAACACCAGUGGGCGAAGGCGGCUCACUGGACCGGAACUGACGCGUGAGGCGCGAAAGCGUGGGGGAGCAAACAGG
rnacentral:rRNA from 1 species